UAAUGUCAGGGGAAAACCUUUACCUUUACUAGGGAGAUUAUUUUUUUCUGGUAUCCCAAGUCCAAAUUCUAUAGUACUUUAAAUGUCAAUGUCUCUAACAUAAUUGUCUGGGGUGUAGAACCUCUACUUAAAAGAGUCCUUGGCAAGAAACCCUUGUGAUAGAUCAUCUUCAACAUUGUCAUAAGUCAGAAAUUACCUGAAUGCACAUAACACACUCACACGGGUGGAUGGGCAGAUUUUUCUUUUUUCUAUCUUCAUAACUUCUUUUGGAUGCUGGAAUCCUUUGGUAUUAUUUCUAAAAUGCAUGUAAAAAUCUGGUUCACAAUCUGUUUCCAGGUUUUAUCAUUUCUGUCUAUGUAAUAUCAUGGAAAAUGAAAAAGAUUUAAUCAGUUUAAUUUUCAUUUUAAAUUGUCAUUUCAGUUUAAUGUAGGCCCCUUCCACAUAGCUGAAUAAAACCCCACAUUAUCUGCUUUGAAUUGGAAUAUAUGGCAGUGUGGACUCUGAUGACCCAGUUUAAAGCAGAUAUUGUGAGAUUUUCUGCCUUGAUAUUCUGGGUUUUAUGGCUGUGGUGAAGGGCCCUUAGUUUAGUUACGAAAGCAAAUCUCCUCAAACCGGCAUUAUUCAAAUUGAAGAUGAUUGCUGUUCAGCUAAUCAGUUGAAUUCAACAUCAAUCCCAAGUAACGCCCCGUCUACACUCCCUGUAUCCCAGUAUCUGAUCCCAGAUUAUCUGCUUUAAACUGGAUUAUAUGAAUCUCCACUACCAGAUAAUCUGGGAUAAGAAGACAAUCUGGGAUCAGAUCCUGGGAUAUAGGGGCAGUGUGGAAAGGACUUAAAGUAAACCAUUAAAAUUUGGAACUGAAUGGAACUUAAUCACAAUGGAUCUAAUUUAGUUGGUACUAACAUUGGAUUUAGAGUAGAGUCCGCAUUAUAAAAAGAGCCAAACAAAAUUCAGAAUUGCAUUCAGUCUGCACAAAAGAAAAUGGGGGAAGAAACAACAUUUGUACAGAAUUUGAAAGUACUGUUAUAAGUGUCCAGCAAGACUUAGCUGUGCAUGUUUAUUAUAACUGUCCUAAAAUGCCAUGGCAUAACAAAAGCUUAGAUAUAGCAUUAUUGGAAGUACCUUGUGUAAAAGGAGCUUUAAAGAAAUGCUGACAAAAUUUACCAUUUAUUCUUAGGUAGAAAUAAGUUAUGUGUUCUUUUUUUCCAUGUGACCGUGCUCAUAAUUGAGUGGUUUAUUCUGUCAAGGUAAAAAAAAUGGAAUGGUGGACUAAAUCUAAUGGUGAGAGGGUUAUUUGGAGGUCAAAUCCUUGAUAAUUGCAGAAGAGAGUUUCAGGUCCUUAAGUCCUCCUGUUUUAAAGAUCUUGGGGGGGGGGGGGAGAGAGAGAAAAUAGAAUGUGCCUAAUGAAUUCCCUAUAAUCAGUAAUUCAAAUGAUUUUCCCUCACUUCAGAAUAUAAUAGAGGCAAUGAACAUUAAAAUAUUAUUGUUUCUGAUGCUCACAUUAUUUAUGUUAGUUUAUGUUAGAGGGAAAACAUUUAGUUUUAGAUGGGGGGACUGUAUACUAUCCAAGGCCCCUUUUACACUGCCAUAUAAUCCAGAUUAUUAAAGCAGAUAAUCCACAUUAUCUGCUUUAAACUGGAUUAUAUAAAUCUACACUGCCAUUUAGUCCAGUUCAAGUCAGAUAAUCUGGAUUUUAUAUGGCAAUGUAGAAGGGGCCCAAGAUAGAAAUAAAGGAAAGUCCUGGGGAGGCUACAGAUUAAUAGUACUGGAAUUGUGAUGAAUCAAAUAGCAAUAUAAAGCAGAACAAACAGAAUUAGGAGGUCAAGGAAAAGUGUUGUAUGAAAUGGAUCUUGGAAAAUAUUUUGAAGGAAAGAGAGACAUUUCAGGGUUUAGAAAGCAGUAUGGCAGAAAGUAUAGUGAUAAGUUUGUGUGCUGGUUAGUCAUCAUGUAAUGUUAAGGCAGAAGGCAUAAUGGUAAGUUUGAGCACUGUUGGUUAGUCAUCAUUUUAUAGAUUGAUUUUUAGACACAGACUUUGAAAUAACUGAAAAGCAUUUAAAGAAGUACAUAUGAAAUUGAUAUUCAGCUAGAGAUGGAGCACAUUUAAUAACCAACCAGUGUGCACUAUGGUAUAAUUUUGUAAAAAGAUGAUUAUAUCCAAGCAGCCUGUUUGUAUGAUUUAACAUUUUGUUCGUAAAGCCUUUACAGAUUUUCAGUUGCAAUUCCACACAGAAGACUACCUGUACAAAGAGCACUAAUAUAAUAUCCAAAUGAAUUCUUCUCUUGACUUUGAUAUUGUACUUUACACAUAAAUUUCUGAUUACGUCUGUUGUAGUGCUUUUCGUAAUGAGUAAUGUGGAUUUUAUUUUUAGGUGUUGUUAUCAGAUACCGUAUAUAUAAGCAGGUAGUGAUCCCUUGUUGGCAUCUGCCACUAGUAGAGAUCCUGCACACAUGACCUGUUAUAUAUAGUAGGUCAAGACAUUGCUCCAUUUGUGCUCUAUCCAUCAAUACAGGCAGUGUAAAAACCUCAUGAAGUCCUAGGUGAACAAUGUAUGGGAAUAUACAAUGUAUUGUGUUCAGGGUCCACACCAUUGGUAUUAGGAUACAGUUGCUCUUCUUCAGCUGCUUAUACAAUAUCCAUAGCAUAUCUCUUCACCUUACUAUUUGGAGAUAGUAAUAUUCCCAGUAAGGAAUUAAAAUGACUUUCUGUUCUUUCCUUUUGUCUUAUCUAGAAUUGCAUUGUUAAAAUCACUAGUUUUAAUCUCCACAAAAUGAGAUUCUUCAACCUUUCCCCCAGUUAUUUGCAGUAUUUCUGCCUGGCUUGUAAAAAUACUAUCCUAUAAUUUAUUAUAAUGGUUAACCACAAGGUGGUGCACAUUUUCUGUUCUAAAGGUCAGUAGACUUUAGUUUUACCCCAAAUACUUCUCUGCUGUUCUCCUACAGGAUACAGUAGCAUUUUUUUAUUAUGCUAUGGAAAAAAAUAUUUUUGGAAAUGUGUUUAUUACAAAAAGUACCUUUACAAACAAACAAUGUACAAACAGUCCCUUGGUAUACAAAUAGCAUCAAAUUUAAGCACCCAUUGAUUCACUCUAAACUUCUGAACUUGGCUGAGUUUCUUCCAUGUUAAUCUUAACUUUCCUGGAUCUUUGAGAUGUUUUAGUUGAUUUUUUACUUUUCAUUUUAUAGAUAGGGAAGCUGAGGAAGACUGUAUCUGUAAAUGUGUCCUGCCGAAAUUUGCUGUUGAGCCUGAGUAUAGGAAACAUUGUUUCUCCACUCUUUUGACUGGCAUGGAAAGGGUUACGAAGAGAUAGAACAACAGGAGCCUGAGGCCUCUUCUUCACUGCCAUAUAAAAUCCAGAUUAUCUGUUUUGAACUGGAUUAUAUGGCACUGUAGACUCAUAUAAUCCAGUUCAAAGAAGAUAAUGUGGAUUUUCUCUUUUGAUAAUUUGGAUUAUAUGGCAGGGUAGAAGGGGCCUGAGUCUGUUAAGAGUUUUGUAUAGUAUCUGGCAGAUUCAUGGUUAAUUGUAAAGUUAGGAGUAACGAAGCAGAAUCUAAAUCAAAGAGUAACUAAUGAAUGGAAUCUGUAAGCAAUAAAGAAUAGGCUGCAGUGGGGAUGAUGUAAUGCAGCUGUGAUUGGUUAAAGGGAAUAUAAAUUAAGCAAGUAACCACAGCAUGUGGACUUCCUAAGAAUAGAGAUUUUGUUGUGUGAAGGUGUUUGAUUCGAUUCUGUGAACCAGUGUAUCAAAUGCUACUUUCUAACUGAAGAUACAGUGAAAGAGAAUACUGGAUAUAAGUUCCUCAACUAAUUUAAAGACCUUCAGCAGUGGCUUUUGCUUCCUUUGCUCCCUGAGGAUGAUCAUGUAACUCAUCAUUCAAUGGUUCCACCUGAGAAUCACUGCCAAAUACAGCACUCAACAGACCAGUGGUGUAUUUCCUUCUCUUUGUCACAUGUCUAUCCAAUGCUACCACACUGACAUUGCAUGGUCUUGUAAUCUUGCUCUGCUGUGUGAGAGAACUGUUACUGAGGGAAGACAGUGAGCAGCUCCGAGAACUUUGUGCUAAAACAUGCAGCCAAGUGAAGUGUUGAAGUGCCAUCCACCUCACUGAACUUCCGGCCAUCGUUUUGAUUGGCUGCCAAUCCAGGAAAAGAAAAGGAGGGCUUCUCCACAGCAGGAAUGAGCUUGCUUUUAUGAGACUCAACCAAACUAGGCACUGGUAUACCUGAGAGAGGCGUUUGUAGACCUUUAAAUUUGCCCGUAUCUAUGCCUCUCCCAUUUUCACUGUCUUCCUCUACACAAGAGACCAAAAUUCUCAAAGGUUUGGGGGAAGCUACAGCACUCAGUAUUCCCAGGCAGUUUCCCAUCCAAGUACUAACUUGGCCUGACCCUGUUUAGCUUCUGAGAUCAGAUGAGAUUGGACAUGUUCAGGGUGGUAUGGCUGUAGCUAGAGAAGAGGUUUCCUGCAAUGUUGUUAUCAGCCCUGUGGUAUUCUGCAUCAUUUAGUAAAAAACAAAAGAAAUCAUUCUCAGGUCUGUUCAGCACCUUGAGAGCAUCUUGCAUUUCUUCUAUAUAUUUGAUUACAGAAGGGAUCUUGUAGCGCAAGCAUUUUUAAAGUGAUACACUUCCACUUCUUUCUGCAGCUACAUCUUUUCAUUAGUAAGUCUUGGAGCAGCAUUUAAAGCCAAGGCUAGGCCUUUGUUGUUCUGUUUUAGGGUGACCUUAAAGAUGGUGGAGUUAUUUAUUGUUUUUGUUUUGAUGUUUGAUGCAAGAGAUACAUUCACAUUUGCCAUUUCUAAAGCACCAUUUCUUUUGUCUUUGAUCUGUUCCUUAGCUCCAAUCACAGAGGACAGGGUAGAUGUCUCCAAAACUGACAUUUUGCUGAGAGUCCAGCAAAUUCUAGUCGAUUUCAAUGGGUCUGACUUAGGCAUAGGCCAACUUUGGCCCUCCCUACCUUCAGGUGUUUUGGGCUUCAACUCCCCGCUAUUUGUUGAUAGUAACACUAAACAAAGCAGCCAGUCUCAGAGAAAUGAGAAUACAAUAUAUGGGCUGUAAUGCGGGUCUCAAUCCAGAAUAAGCCAGUUGUGUGUUAUCUAUCUAAAAAGCAGACGAUAUUAAAUUGUUUCUGUGUUCUUGGUCUGUGUUCCAGUGUAUGCCUCCUGUUUUACUACUGCAAUCUGCUCUAAUUAUCAAGUUUUAUCAAGUUUAUUGACCUAUUAACGGUGUCCAUGGGACAUUUUAAUUUAGUAGCUGUUAAAAAGGCUUUAAAUAUGUUACAAUUUGUAUGAUAAAACAUUUCAUGUCACCCUUCCCAUUGGUAUCCAUACCAUAUAAAAAAUGUUCUUAAUUCUUUCCUGCACCAGCUAAUACAGCAUUGCUUUAAAAGGAAGAUUUAAAAAUUCAGGAGAGAGCCUGAUGUGGCUAUUGGACUAGGACUCUGGAGACUCAGGUUCAAAACUCUGCUUGACCAUGGAUGCAUCUGUACUGUAGUAUUAAUGCAGUUUGACACCACUUUAACUGCCCUUGAUCUUGGGAUUUGAAGCUUGAUGAGUCACCAGCUCUCUUUGACAGAGCAGACUAAAUGUCUUGAAAAACCUUAGCUCCCAGGAUUCCAUAGCACUGGGCUAUGACAGUUAAAAUAGUGUUGAAUAGUUUUCUGCAGUGUUGAUGUACCCCUAAUGUAUGACCUUGGGCAAAUCACAUUCUCGCAGCCUCAGAGGAAGGGAGUGUCAAACCCCCUAUGAAAAAAUAUUGCCAAAAAAACUCAUGAUAGAUUCUCUUUAGGAUUACAAUAUGCCAUAAAUGAUUUGACAGUAGCAACAAAGACACAGAUCCGCUUGCUAAAGGUGCAUGUAGUUGUUUUGCCUCCAUUCAGAUUUUUGCAAUAGAUAUGAUGAUAUAUAAAGAAGAAAUCACAGCUAAUGAUCUUAAAUUGUUCUUUAUUAAACAGUCAUUAUGCUCAUUUAUGAAACAGCUUAAUGUGUAUUCUCUGCUGAGUAUCUCUGCCAAUGAACACUUAACCUUUUCUGCGAAUCUUGCUUAAUAUUUUCCUGCUGAAAUCCUUCCGUUCUGCAUUCUGUGACGUGGAAAUGGUGUCCUAUCCUGUUCCCUGUACAAUGAAUUGAGAGGUGGUGUCUGAAGAAACUUAGAAUGUCUUCCUUUAUAUUGACAGCAGUUUUUUGUCCAAGAAUAUAUAGAUGCACAUAUCUUUUAAGACUGGCAUAAUGAUUUAAAGUAUGGUGCAGUCCAACCAUCAUGAGGAGGUCAUCAAACUCUUUAUUUAUUUAUUUAUUUAUUUAUUUAUUUAUUUAUUUAUUUAUUACAUGCAGUUAUACCCUGCCCUUCUCCCCAAGGGGACUCAGAGCGGCUUACAUUCUGCCACAAGGGCCAGCAACAAAUAUACUAUAAAACAAAACAAUUAAAACAUGAUAAAAAUAUACAAAAAUUAAAACGCUGCAAAGUAGCGAUGUUGCACCAUCCUCAGUCAUUCAAUACUGCUACAAUUACAGAUUUGCGACCCGAUUAUAUCAGCCCAUGUGCUUAUUCGCUGAAUGCCUGGGCGCAGAGCCAAGUUUUUAGUUUUCUUCUAAAUCCCAGGAGGGAUGGGGUUUGCCGGAUAUCGCUGGGGAGGGAGUUCCACAGCCGAGGAGCCACCAUCUUAAGGUUUGUCCUAUUACUGGUAUGCAUGUGCCACAUGUUCUUUUACCACAUUGAUACGAAAUCUGUUGUAAAAUGUGUUUUUAAAAAUAAGGCAUUUAAACCUGGCAGUUUCAAGAUUGUAUUUGGAUACUUUGUAAAAAUGCAUUAAAUAUGUGUUGAGGUGAUGGGAGUGUUCAUCCCAAAAUUUGGUUUCCCUAUAGUUAGCUGUAAUCAUGCUGUGCUGUCAUUCUGCCUUGGUGACUGAAGUUAUCCUUUUUCUACCACAGUCUGCAGUGCAAUAUGGAGACACUGUCCUUACACAUGGUUUUGCCCAAAGCGCACCCUUCUUUCUGCAUCUGUGAAGAGUUUAACAUUGUGCAUUAGAAUGACAUCACAUCUUCUUUCAAUCUUCGUCUCCUUGCAGUCAUCUUCUAUUUUUGGAAAGAAAGUCAAAGCUGGUCAGUUCUUUAUUGAUGUGACUCACAAGGUUCCCCAGCCUUAAUGCCACAGUGGCAUGAACACAUUCUGAUAUCACACAGAGAAUCUAAUUGGGAAGAAAUAUGAUCUGUGUUUCUCUCUCUGUGUUAAAUCUGAGCAAGUAAUCUGUUACCCAUGGAAACCAAGAGCUUUUGCCAGGAGGCUAAGAACACUGUAAAGAAUAAAGUCAACAGAGAUACUGAGGGGAAAUGCACGCAGCACAGUCAGACAGCAAAUUCAGAAAUAACUAACAUGACCUCUUUUGUGCCACUGAAAUAGCUUUGUCAGAAAAGUAUGUCAUGUGCACAGAAAUGGCUCACAACAGCCAAGAAUUAACAGCAUUUCCUUUUGUAAUGGAUUUAAGCAGUAGCUGUGUGAAGUUUUUCCAUUUACUGCUUAGUUAAUUUGGAUCUGUAUUGAAACCUGAAAGUUAUCAUAGUUUAUCCUUCCUACUUUAUAUCAAUAUUAUCAGUUUUUGCUCUGUUACACAUGGCAACAGCCAUUAAGAUCACACUUUCUUAAGGAAGAGUCUAAUUAAUAAAUGCCAUUGAUCUUGCUGUGUAAUUUAGGAUACUGUUUUAUGGAGUUUGAAGACCAGUCCUUAAUUCUGCCUUGAAGUAUGGGUGAAAACAAGGAUUUAUCCACAAAUGUAAGAUGAAAAUGAGAUUUCUCAGUCUCAUGCUGCUGAGAUGUCAAUGCAAGGCUGACAUAAAUGAUAUUUAAGCAUUUUUUUUAUAAACCUUCCAUCUUCUAUUUCUAUUUUUAUACUUCUAUAUAGCUUGAAUUUUGCAGCCCCAUAAUUGGAUCUGUCAUAUAUUUUUUAUCUAUCAAGAGCAAAAAUGAGGAAUAGUAGUGUCUUUCUGAAACCUGGACUAAAAAUGCAAUCCUAAAUAGACGUAUUUCAUGAUAUGUCCCAGUUUCAGUGACGUAGGUGAAGUCUGUCUCCUAAUGCAUUACAUUAAGGUUAUACUCUAGAAAUUCGACAAGUUUUAUGAGUGAGAUGUAUUGCCAAUCUCUUUCUGACACAAACUCAUAUACUUACAGAAUCUAUUUUUGUGAGAUUUUGUGUGAGGUUUGUUUGUUUAUUUUUUAUUUGAUUUAUACCCCCCUCUUUUCUCCCAGAACAGGAUUCAAGAACAGUAUGUACACAGUCCCUAGAGGCAGUUUACUGCAACCUUACAGUGGAAUGCUGAUUGGCGAUGGCUGGAAAACUGAUCUUGGGGAACAUCAAUUAGGAUCCACCCCCUAUGCUUCAGCAUCUCUCCUCCCUUUCAAUUUUUUUAAACUCUCAUUUUGCACAUGGAUACACAUUUCUUAGGAUGAGGCUUGGAAGAUGGAUGAAUAGUUUCCCAAACAAGCACCCUUCAUGGUGAUAGACAUAGCUGCAGGCUGGGAUGUGAAUGUCAGUCUAACAGGUCAAAGGCAUGCAUUUUGGGAAUGGUGGAAGCAUAUGUUGGAACCAGAACUUGGAAAAAUUACUUUAUGAUCUAUAACACACAACAUUCUCUAUUCGUGAUGGGGGCUGGGAAAUUUAGAGAGCUUUAACUGUAACACACAGUCUGUUGUAGCAAUAUAUUAUACCCCUUUUCAGAGCCAAAUUUGACAAAUUUCAUCUUCAAAACUACUCUGUGUCCCAGUUGUCCCUCCACAAUAGCAAUUUUGACUUUAGCAGUUUUCUUUAUUCACAGAUUAGAUUAAAAGUGCUUUCUCUAGGAAUCUCUUGGUCCUAGAGUGUGACUCUAUAGUCAAGUCUUCCAGUCAUGCUGGCGGACUAUGAGAUUUCUUGAGAGAACACCUCUAGGAAUUUCUAGGUCCUCAAAGGCAAUUAUAUGGCCAGCUUUCAGUGGAAGUCAGCCAUAGACUCUUGCUGGAAGACCUAAAAAUCCCUAGAAAGGUGUCCAUUCAGUAAGAAAAUUGUGAUUUCUUUUAUUCAGUUUUUACUUUCACUGGGGCCCUGUGCCCCUAACUCCAGGGAACAUGCAGGGCUGACUGUAUUCAUUGCUCCUACUGAUUCUCAAUAAAAGUGAUCUAAAUGUUA